AAAUUGAAGAGUUUGAUCAUGGCUCAGAUUGAACGCUGGCGGCAGGCCUAACACAUGCAAGUCGAACGGUAACAGGAAGAAGCUUGCUUCUUUGCUGACGAGUGGCGGACGGGUGAGUAAUAUCUGGGAAACUGCCUGAUGGAGGGGGAUAACUACUG
rnacentral:rRNA from 1 species